rnacentral:rRNA from 1 species
UACGUAGGUGCAAGCGUUGUCCGGAUUUACUGGGCGUAAAGAGCGCGCAGGCGGUCGUUCAAGUCGCGUGUGAAAGCCCCCGGCUCAACUGGGGAGGGUCACGCGAUACUGAUCGACUCGAAGGCAGGAGAGGGAAGUGGAAUUCCCGGUGUAGUGGUGAAAUGCGUAGAUAUCGGGAGGAACACCAGUGGCGAAGGCGACUUCCUGGCCUGUUCUUGACGCUGAGGCGCGAAAGCUAGGGGAGCAAACGGG